rnacentral:rRNA from 1 species
AUUGAACGCUGGCGGCAUGCUUUACACAUGCAAGUCGAACGGCAGCGGGGACUUCGGUCCGCCGGCGAGUGGCGAACGGGUGAGUAAUGCAUCGGAACGUGCCUAUCAGUGGGGGAUAACGCUUCGAAAGGAGUGCUAAUACCGCAUAUUCUCCGAGGAGGAAAGCAGGGGACCUUAGGGCCUUGCGCUGAUAGAGCGGCCGAUGUCGGAUUAGCUAGUUGGUGAGGUAAAGGCCCACCAAGCCAACGAUCUGUAGCUGGUCUGAGAGGACGACCAGCCACACUGGGACUGAGACACGGCCCAGACUCCUACGGGAGGCAGCAGUGGGGGAAUUUUGGACAAUGGGGGCAACCCUGAUCCAGCCAUGCCGCGUGCGGGAAGAAGGCCUUCGGGUUGUAAACCGCUUUUGUCAGGGAAGAAAAGCUCUGGGUUAAUACCCUGGGGUGAUGACGGUACCUGAAGAAUAAGCACCGGCUAACUACGUG